CACGUCCUCACUAGUUUUAAUCAAUGUCCAAUCUCAUCUGAUCUGAAUCUAAGCAGGGUUGGGCCAGGUUAAUACUUGGAUAGAAGACCAGUGGGAAUACCAGGUGCCACAGUGG
rnacentral:rRNA from 1 species